UACAUGUGGGGCAAGCGUUGUUCGGAAUUACUGGGCAUAAAGGGUGCGUAGGCGGCUUGUUAGGUCACUGGUGAAAGUUUUCGGCCCAACCGGAAAAUUGCCUGUGAUACCGGCGAGCUGAGUGCGUGAGGGGUGGGGGGAACGAGCAGUGUAGCGGUGAAAUGCGUAGAGUAUUGCUCGGAAGGCCGGAGCCGAAGGGGCCC
rnacentral:rRNA from 1 species